UGAAAAAGCCAACCCAGGCAUAUCGAUGCAGGAAAGAGAGCUGAGGCAGCAUGUGAAUGAGGAGCUGUCCUCCGCAGCACAGGAUACAGAGCUGUGCCCAAACGCGUGGGACAGCUGCCAGCCAAGGCUGACACCGUCACCCAGACCGACGGGCCCUGCAAAGGCACCUGAACGGCCACGCUUGGCCCUACACCCCACACAAAGUGCAGCAGUCCUGACACAAUCAAGUCCCUAAAUCUCUCCUAGUUUCCCCUGACAUGAUCAGGAAGCAAUUGUUAAACCUGAAAGACUGACCCCGACCUUUCUAUUGGCAGAAGCUCCAGACUUGGAGUCACGCUUUAUUAAGGAACACUUAAAACACAGGGAGAACUUUCGUUUAAGCCAGCAACUCCGCUUGCUUCAUGCAAAGACCCUGAGACCCCCCCAAAUCCCACUGGAUUCCUGUGAGGCUGUGCCCUCCCCAUUACACCCAUCCCUCGUCCUGCAAUCACCACUCUGCACAGGGAGAGCACUUCUCGCCUCCUCCGUUUGGACGGUUCACAAAGAGCAGAUGGGAGGGGAGGGGUGUAGGCCCCUUCAGCAGAGGUGUGCAUUUAAAGCCUUAUUAAUCAGAUGAUCAGAUCCCUUAACUCCCAGAGCAGCAGAUCGCACACUCCUUGGCUCUUACACACCACGGCCUCCUGCCGAAGUGCUUCUGCCUGGCUACACAACCGCCAUGUUGUUGCCAUGCACACUCAUGGGGCCCGCUCAGCCUCGCUGCUUUCUCAAACAGUGUGUAUAUAUUACCUGCAUAAGGGUACGUGCAAUAUGAGAGCAUAGGCUACAUUAUGGUGUUCAGGUCACAGGAGGGCCCCAGUGCCAGCAGCUGGUGGGAAUUGCUGAAAAUUAUGCAGAAGCAGCAGUUAACAGAACUUACAUAACGAUGAGUGGAAGGUUGGGAGCUCGGUAACAAGUCAAACCAGCCCAACACAGCUUGUUCAGAAGCAUGUUGCACAGCUUACAUAACCAGGGCUAACAAUUUCAUACGUAACACUUCUCCAAGGAAUAUGUAUAUCCCUGGUUAAUAGAUACGUGUAUCAUCUUGAGCCAGGCAUGCACAUCGGGCAGAGUUAUCCCCUCGCAUGCCCAACUGCAUAAUAAGGGACGCACAGUGGAUGAUGUCAAAGGAAAACAGCAACAUGUUCACAAAGUGUAUCCUUAAAUUAUUUCUGAGGGCACAGAGCUGGGGAGGCUAGUUAGGGAAAACAAAGUGCUCUUUCUUGAGGGAAGUAACACAGGAGUAAUUCACAAGCAGCCAUCAGUCACCAGGGUGGUACUACUGUAGACAGAAGGCACUACUGCAGCGGAGAGAAGCUUUCUGCUUACAGCAGUGCUAGAAUCCACUGGACUACAAGCACAGAAGGAUGGUGAUGGAGCAGGAGUACCCAGCAGCUACAAAAACUGUACUAAGACUAAAAAAAAAAAAGACUUCUAGUGCAUAAAGAGGUAUGGCACAAUAAAGCUUCUGUCCUGUAUAAAGCUGUACAGAAGAAAGCAUCAAUUUUCUUUACUGAGGUGGUGGAAAGACUUUCUCAUGAAUACCCUGUGCAAGAGUGAAGUUUGGAAGCAUAAAGAAUAUUAAAGAUCAGUGUUUGAACAGUUGUUCUAAAACGGGUUACUAAAACCUGACAUUUUUGGUUCUAAUGUUAGGGAUCAAUUAAUUACACCCUUGACAAAUUGUUUUAGGGUUUAUCUGUAAAUCUAGCUGUAAUACAUCAACUUCUAAUUCAACACUAUUUUAUAGGAUCCACAAUGGCUUUACUCUAAGUUGCUCCAUAUACUCAGUUUCUAUUUUUCCCAAUUUGAAAUUAACUGUGUCUUUUAUAGUACAAUCUGGAAAAUUCUUGGAAAUAAAUGAUGCUUUGUGCUACUC